GGGAGCGAGCAAGCUGCGCAGAGGUAACUCCGGAGGUGGAGAGAGUGCAGGGAUCCGACGCGCAGGAUUUGAGGUAAUCUCUCCGGCUGCUGGAAGGGACCCAGAAGAUCUAAUGAGGGCGAUCCCUCAGACAGAGAGAGGGGUCCCCGCAGACUGAGAAAAGGGCCCCACAGACCUUGCAGACUAGAGAGGGAGCCCCGCAGACCGAGGGAGGGAGCUGAGGGAGACCCACGACUGGAGGCUGCGCCUGAAAGAAAAGAUCUGAAGAUUGAGACAGGCCUCCAAAAUUUUACGGAGGAUAUUGAUGAUAGACCCUCAGAGAGAGGGAGGACGACGCGGAGAUCCCGAGGACAGAUGGAAGGGACCGGGAAGAGACUCCUGUCUGAGGGAGGCCGCCUGAGUGAAAGCUGAGCCGGAGACGGUGGUGCCGGGAUGAAGGCGAGAGCUACGGUGGGGGCGCUGGGGUUGAGGUGAAGUGAAGGAAAGGAGAGUAUUGAAAUUUGUGAAUAUCUUCUGGCUCCUGAUUUUGCCCACUCAGCAAUUUGUGGAAGAUGAUCAGAAGAAAAACACAUAGGAAUGAAAAAAAAUGGUCUUCCACAUAAAUUUAAUAGAAUUCAGUCAAGAGAAAGAUUACUCCUCUGAUUUAUGAUCAUCAUGUGUGCUGCCUCCUUUUACUACACUCUCUGCCAUCACUCCCAGAUGAUGUUCUACCUCAUCUGGGGCCACAAGGAAUGGAGCCUGCUGUCUGUGGAUUGAGAACUCUGAAACUGUAAGCCUCCAACUAAACUUUUCCUCCUUUACUGCUGUUCUGGUCCAGUCCUCUCAUCACAGUGGUGAAAAGGGCGCUCACAAUGUGAGAUUGCAUUGAACCUCAGAGAAGACUUUGGAUUUGAACUUUGAGCAAACUUGGAAUUGUUGAGACUAUGGAUGAUAUUGCCAGUUAUCAGUGACGAGUCCUGGAGUCCUGCUUCCCCACAUGUUGAAGUUUGAACAUUAGAAAAGCAUGGCGAGAUCAUCCUGUGAGCUCCUUCCCUGCACUACACUCUUCUGCCAUGAUGUCCUGCCUCAGUGUGAGCCCCAAGGAAUGGAGCCUACUGUCUUAUGAACUGAG